rnacentral:rRNA from 1 species
UGAUGCAGCACUGCCGCGUGCAGGAUGAAGGCCUUCGGGUUGUAAACUGCUUUUGUACGGAGCGAAAAGGCUCUCUCUAAUACAGGGGGCUCAUGACGGUACCGUAAGAAUAAGCCCCGGCUAACUACGUGCCAGCAGCCGCGGUA